rnacentral:rRNA from 1 species
ACGGGUGAGUAAUACAUCGGAACGUAUCCUGGAGUGGGGGAUAGCCCGGCGAAAGCCGGAUUAAUACCGCAUACGCUCUGAGGAGGAAAGCGGGGGACCUUCGGGCCUCGCGCUCAAGGGGCGGCCGAUGGCGGAUUAGGUAGUUGGUGGGGUAAAGGCCUACCGAGCCGACGAUCCGUAGCUGGUCUGAGAGGACGACCAGCCACACUGGGACUGAGACACGGCCCAGACUCCUACGGGAGGCAGCAGUGGGGAAUUUUGGACAAUGGGGGCAACCCUGAUCCAGCAAUGCCGCGUGUGUGAAGAAGGCCUUCGGGUUGUAAAGCACUUUUGUCCGGAAAGAAAUCAUCGGGGCCAAUACCCCUGGUGGAUGACGGUACCGGAAGAAUAAGCACCGGCUAACUACGUGCCAGCAGCCGCGGUAAUACGUAGGGUGCGAGCGUUAAUCGGAAUUACUGGGCGUAAAGCGUGCGCAGGCGGUGCUGUAAGACCGAUGUGAAAUCCCCGGGCUUAACCUGGGAACUGCAUUGGUGACUGCAGCGCUGGAGUAUGGCAGAGGGGGGUGGAAUUCCACGU